AUUGAACGCUGGCGGCAGGCCUAACACAUGCAAGUCGAGCGGAUGAAGGGAGCUUGCUCCUGGAUUCAGCGGCGGACGGGUGAGUAAUGCCUAGGAAUCUGCCUGGUAGUGGGGGAUAACGUCCGGAAACGGGCGCUAAUACCGCAUACGUCCUGAGGGAGAAAGUGGGGGAUCUUCGGACCUCACGCUAUCAGAUGAGCCUAGGUCGGAUUAGCUAGUUGGUGGGGUAAAGGCCUACCAAGGCGACGAUCCGUAACUGGUCUGAGAGGAUGAUCAGUCACACUGGAACUGAGACACGGUCCAGACUCCUACGGGAGGCAGCAGUGGGGAAUAUUGGACAAUGGGCGAAAACCUGAUCCAGCCAUGCCGCGUGUGUGAAGAAGGUCUUCGGAUUGUAAAGCACUUUAAGUUGGGAGGAAGGGCAGUAAGUUAAUACCUUGCUGUUUUGACGUUACCAACAGAAUAAGCACCGGCUAACUUCGU
rnacentral:rRNA from 1 species